rnacentral:rRNA from 1 species
AGUGAACGCUGGCGGUAGGCCUAACACAUGCAAGUCGAACGGCAGCACGGUAAGAGCUUGCUCUUACGGGUGGCGAGUGGCGGACGGGUGAGGAAUACAUCGGAAUCUACUUUUUCGUGGGGGAUAACGUAGGGAAACUUACGCUAAUACCGCAUACGACCUACGGGUGAAAGCAGGGGAUCUUCGGACCUUGCGCGAUUGAAUGAGCCGAUGUCGGAUUAGCUAGUCGGCGGGGUAAAGGCCCACCAAGGCGACGAUCCGUAGCUGGUCUGAGAGGAUGAUCAGCCACACUGGAACUGAGACACGGUCCAGACUCCUACGGGAGGCAGCAGUGGGGAAUAUUGGACAAUGGGCGCAAGCCUGAUCCAGCCAUACCGCGUGGGUGAAGAAGGCCUUCGGGUUGUAAAGCCCUUUUGUUGGGAAAGAAAAGCAGCAGGUUAAUACCCCGCUGUUCUGACGGUACCCAAAGAAUAAGCACCGGCUAACUUCGUG